rnacentral:rRNA from 1 species
GUGACAUACCACUUGUUGCCUCGGCGGAUCAGCCCGCUCCCGGUAAAACGGGACGGCCCGCCAGAGGACCCCUAAACUCUGUUUCUAUAUGUAACUUCUGAGUAAAACCAUAAAUAAAUCAAAACUUUCAACAACGGAUCUCUUGGUUCUGGCAUCGAUGAAGAACGCAGCAAAAUGCGAUAAGUAAUGUGAAUUGCAGAAUUCAGUGAAUCAUCGAAUCUUUGAACGCACAUUGCGCCCGCCAGUAUUCUGGCGGGCAUGCCUGUUCGAGCGUCAUUUCAACCCUCAAGCCCUCGGGUUUGGUGUUGGGGAUCGGCGAGCCCUUGCGGCAAGCCGGCCCCGAAAUCUAGUGGCGGUCUCGCUGCAGCCUCCAUUGCGUAGUAGUAAAACCCUCGCAACUGGAACGCGGCGCGGCCAAGCCGUUAAACCCCCAACUUCUGAAUGUUGACCUCGGAUCAGGUAGGAAUACCCGCUGAACUUAAGCAUAUCAAUAAGCGGAGG